rnacentral:rRNA from 1 species
AACGAACGCUGGCGGCAUGCCUAACACAUGCAAGUCGAACGAGACCUUCGGGUCUAGUGGCGCACGGGUGCGUAACGCGUGGGAACCUGCCCUUAGGUUCGGAAUAACUCCCCGAAAGGGGUGCUAAUACCGGAUAAUGUCUUCGGACCAAAGAUUUAUCGCCUUUGGAUGGGCCCGCGUUGGAUUAGCUAGUUGGUAGGGUAAAAGCCUACCAAGGCGACGAUCCAUAGCUGGUCUGAGAGGAUGAUCAGCCACACUGCGACUGAGACACGGCCCAGACUCCUACGGGAGGCAGCAGUGGGGAAUAUUGGACAAUGGGCGAAAGCCUGAUCCAGCAAUGCCGCGUGAGUGAUGAAGGCCUUAGGGUUGUAAAGCUCUUUUACCCGGGAUGAUAAUGACAGUACCGGGAGAAUAAACUCCGGCUAACUCCGU